CGGGCGGUGCGUCCCGUGAGGGGUUGCGGGUGCCCGGGAGAGUUUCCAGCCCCGGCGGUGCUACAGGAUCGCGGAGUCAUCCGGGUUGGAAGAGACCUGUAGGAUCAUCCAGUCCAACCGUCCACUCAGCGCUGGCACUGUAAUCCCAUAUCCACUAAACCACAUUACCCAGCGUCAGAUCCAGACGCCUCUUAAACACCUCCAAGGAUGGCGACUCCACCAGCUCCCUGGGCAACCUAGUCCAAUGCCUGCUCCAUAUCCCACUUGUCGGGCUUUGUGGCAGUUGUUUCAUUAGGCUUAAAGUGCUGGUUGUGGGGCCAUUACAGGGACGCGCCAGUGGGCCCCGCAGCUGCUGCAGCCCCGCGGGCAAACGGGACACGGCCCCGGCCGGGCAGCACCUGCCCCGUGCCUGGUACCUGGUGUCAACCUGGCACUGCGUUCCUUUUCCUGUUCCUUGCCCUUGGAAGUCUCCCGGCUGCCAGGGCUGCCCCUGUGAAUCAUGUCAGCGGCAGGCGGGUCCUGCCGCCGAGUGCCGUGAUGCAAGGCAGGCGUAUUCACCGAUGCUCCGUGUCUGCACAGUGCCGUGAUGCAAGGCAGGUGUAUUCACCGAUGCUCCGUGUCUGCACAGUGCCGUGAUGCAAGGCAGGCGUAUUCACUGAUGCUCCGUGUCUGCACAGUGCCGUGAUGCAAGGCAGGUGUAUUCACCGAUGCUCUGUGUCUGCAUCGCAGUGCGUGCCUGAGAAAUGAGGGUGCCACCUGAGGCAAUGCUUACAUCUGCCCGGAGUUAAAUAUAGGUCGUUUAGCAAAGGGCAUUUGCUGUAGAAGGGAAGAAUGGUUAGAAAAUGUCAGAUUCUGUAAGUUAGCAGAGAGGCGUCUCUGAAAGUUAGGCUGGUCAGCCAGAAAGAAUCUAGGUCCCAGAUGCCAGGGGACUGACUGAAAAGUUAGUGGGUUUUAAAGCUGAAAUGUGUGUCAAAAUAUGUGUUGCUCAAGAUCCCCCAAUGGAAGGAGGUGGCGUAGCCAGGAAGAGAAUUUCUUUCGGGUGACUCUUGAACUGGACUCUGAAUACCAGGGCAUUGUGUGAUGCACAUUUUGCAUCCAGCUCCACGUACCUCCAUCAUUGCUGUUUUCCUACAGGUGCCUGUACACUGCACAUGUCCGCAGGGCACAGAAGCAGCAUUCCUUCUCUGAGCUAGUUUACCUUCUGUAACAGUGAUUUCACCAGUUUUGUCUCUUGGAGUUGGUUACGAACACUUCCUAUUGGGACUAUGCUUGUUCAUAUACGAUGUGUUUUUUUAAUCUGAUCAGAAUUAAGUAUAUACGCCUAGAGUAGGUGUUAUGUAAGAGCAACACAAUAAACAAUGAUUGCAACAUGACUAUUCAACAGGAACCAGUCCUUUUCAAAAUUACAGUAUAGUCAAAAUGCAGAUGAAACAAAGAUGAGAUGAGAAGGGAAAGAUUACGAGUUGUUAAUAAGAGGAAUAUGGCUUACACAUCGUUUCAAUAUAAUUUCAAUGUCAUUUCUCCUCCUAAGUACUUCCUUUGCCAAAUGAGGACAACCUCUUAUGUUUAUAUGGUUUUUUCUCAUUCCAUGACAGUUAAGAUAAAGUAAUUUGAAAAAGUUUAAUUUUGACUCUUGUAAAAAUAGUUUCCAGAACAAAGUAAAAGUAAAUUUAUACUAAAACACAGAUUUUUCAUUUUUAAAAUGUCACAAGAACACUUUUCAACAAAUUUGGUGCUCUUUUCAAAACCCAAAACUUUCCCCGCAAACCAUUUUUGAGGAACUGGCAUUACUUCUUUCAAGAAAGAAGAAAAAGAACAACUUUUACUGUCCCCAUUACUGCAGAUGUCUCUGGAUUAACUUCUCUAAUGAUUGCUUCUGUGCUUCCUGACACUAGCUUUAUGCUUACAGCAGCCCUGGAACCACCAGCCUCUUGCCUUCUCUUCAUCUAAGUUGCUUUUAAUGCACAUUUUUUAUCUAAAAGUGGAAGAGUGCUGACUCACCCUCAGACACUGUUCAGGCUGGCACAUUUCAUUCAACAAAAAAUAAAAUUAUGCUCCUACCAAGUAAUCUCAAUUCUCAUGUCAAAUAGCUUUCUUUUACACAUGAGUUUGUAGCUACCACACACUAGCACAAGUGUAAUGAUAGCUCUAAUUUUGUUACUAAAAGCUGAAUUUGGAGCCUGAGCCUUCUUUUGGUGCAGAUUUGUGACCCAAUGUGUCAUAUCUGCUAACACAGAUUCCUCUGUAGUUCCUCCUUUCAUGUCUGAAGUCUGUUCUGUGACUGUCCAAGCUAGAGACAAUUACCAUUUUUUAGUGCAAAUUUUCUAUUGCCAUACAUAAUGUACAAAAUGAGGUUUCACUAAAAGUUAUCCUUUGAGCUUACACUGAGAACUAAUUGAGAUGUUUGUUAUGUGCGUAUAAUGUUAUUUCCAAGUGGGUCAAGCCAGAAGGAAGACAGGCAGGUGGAGGAGGACAGAUUAGCAUAGAAAGAGUGAGGCACCCUAUGGCUUACCCGGGUCACCCCAGCUGUGUCCCAAACAUCUCAUGUCCUUCUGCAGUCCGGCCACAAGGGAAGGGUUCUUGUGCACAAGAGGGUCGCCCCUGUUGGCAAGUUCACAGCUGAGCAUUGAGCAGCCUUAAACCCAGCUUACAGCAACCACAACAACAUGCACGGCUAUGAAGAUCCCCAAAAUGUACCCUCAUGCAGAGAAGAGAUCAGCCUUCUCCCAAGCAGUCAUUUACAGUUUGCGUUUUUAUAUUUUCCUGAGGUCCUAUCAGUCCUCUGAUUUUAGAUACUGAUGAUAUCACUAAAUGACACUGGACAUUGCUUAGGUGCCUGCCAGUCCACACAGAAUAUCUCCACCUGAAUAACACACUACCAUCUUGCUGCCAGCAGCAGAAGGAUGGCCCUUUGCAUUGACCUGUGUAUCUUGAAGGUCACAACAAAUCUUUAAUUACUUAAAUACUGGGUUUAGAAUCUGAUUUAUAUCUUAACGUAUAAUCUUAAUAAUCUGAAAGGCAUCAGAAAUUUUAGAAGAAUGUAAACAGCACAUUACAUUGGAAUCAAUCUAAAUUUACAUUUUUAUAUAUAGACCUUUAAAAGCAGAACAUAGCUUGUGUUAACAGAAAAAUAUUCACUACAUACAUGUACGAGUAUGAUUUUUUAAUUUCAAAUGGUGACUUUUUGCUUGGUAAGACUUAAUUGUGCUUCACCAAAGCCAGGAACCGAGAUUUUAUUUUUUUUUAAACAACCAUCCUUUCCAAGUAAUCCUACAUGCAUAUUCUGAGGUCUUCCUUACAUAGGGGUAAGGGAUUGAAAUACGAAAGUAUAAAGGAGAAAAGUAUUUCUAUCACACAAGGAUGCAGAAUGACCACAUCCUGGUCUGCAGAGUACCUAAAUGCCUGACUGCAAACUCAGGGGCAAGCAUUUCAGGGCUUGAACUCACUGUAAGGUAAAAAAUUAAUUAAAUAAAUAAAAUAGCAUUUGCUUAUGUGGUUGGAAAAACAGUGAGAUCCCUCCCUGUAAAGCUCAGAUUCAGGGGGAGGGCUUCCCUCCCCUGCUUCUCUUUAUUAUUUUUCACUUUUUUCUGUAAGUGCCUGCAUCACUUUGCACGUGAUGGUUGCGUUCAGAUUUAGAUGACAGAUACGUGACACAGUAACCGUAUAUAAGACAGUUCAAGAAUCCAAUGAAUGAUUCCGCCAAAAGCAGAAUCUUACUCUAAAUCACUGAAAGAGCAAAAAAUGCUCAGGAUGAGUAGAUAAAUAUAUACUUUUAGUGCCUUAAUUCCUUCCCUGCAAAUCAAAACCUGGUUUGUGUACAAGGUUCCUAGAUUUCAGUAGGUAGAGGGACAAUAGCUUCCUGUAAAAACAGGAUCGAUAUUCAGAAAUAUGAUUUACCAGGACACUAUUACAUUUCUCUUUGAAGAAACAGAACAAUUUCAAGGCAUAGUGUUUCACAUUAUUUCUAUCCACUUGGAGAUUUUGUUUUUCUUUCCUGUAUGUCCUGGGUGAAGAAAAAGCUUGUUUUUAUCUUCCUCAAUCACUUCUUCAGAGGAGUUUAGGCAGAGGUAUAAUUCACUGUAAUAAAGCUACCUGCACUUCAGUUGGA